UACAGAGGUCUCAAGCGUUAAUCGGAAUUACUGGGCUUAAAGGGUCCGCAGGCGGACCAGCAAGUACCUUGUGAAAUCUCAGGUCUCAACCCUGAGUCUGCUAGGUAGACUGCUGCUCUUGAGUGCAAAAGGGGUCGCUGGAACUCUAGGUGGAGCGGUGAAAUGCGUAGAUAUCUAGAGGAACGCCAAAGGUGAAGACAGGCGACUGGUUUGCAACUGACGCUCAUGGACGAAAGCGUGGGGAUCAAACGGG
rnacentral:rRNA from 1 species